rnacentral:lncRNA from 1 species
GAUCUAUGGUCCGCAAAUAGUCAAAAAAUAACAUAAAGACGUAAAAGCUACGGUUCCGCAGCUAGUAAUUCAUAGGCUAUUUUCCAUAUUACUCCCUAUUGACUUCUUAGUAUAUAAAUUUUCAACAGGUUAUUACUAGAUAUAUUUCACUUGACUGGGCGGAGUUUAAGAAGUUCGCUCAUUGAAGACCAGUCCAUCUAUAGACAAGGAGUUUUGGGAUAAGCUCAUCAAUGAAGUGUCAAAUUAUUCGUCCCAUACGAUACACUCAGUUCUUUUGUAUAUGCCUUUGGUGACCCUGAUUAGUGAUUAGAAUUCAAUGAUAAUUAUAACGGCAAUCAUCCUUAUCACACACAUUUUCAAAUAGACUGUCCUUACGUAAAUUAAAACAUAAGCUCCGCCCG